GACGAACGCUGGCGGCGUGCCUAAUACAUGCAAGUAGAACGCUGAAGGAGGAGCUUGCUUCUCUGGAUGAGUUGCGAACGGGUGAGUAACGCGUAGGUAACCUGCCUGGUAGCGGGGGAUAACUAUUGGAAACGAUAGCUAAUACCGCAUAAGAGUAGAUGUCGCAUGACAUUUGCUUAAAAGGUGCAAUUGCAUCACUACCAGAUGGACCUGCGUUGUAUUAGCUAGUUGGUGAGGUAACGGCUCACCAAGGCAACGAUACAUAGCCGACCUGAGAGGGUGAUCGGCCACACUGGGAAUGAGACACGGCCCAGACUCCUACGGGAGGCAGCAGUAGGGAAUCUUCGGCAAUGGACGGAAGUCUGAACGAGCAACGCCGCGUGAGUGAAGAAGGUUUUCGGAUCGUAAAGCUCUGUUGUAAGAGAAGAACGAGUGUGAGAGUGGAAAGUUCACACUGUGACGGUAUCUUACCAGAAAGGGACGGCUAACUACGUG
rnacentral:rRNA from 1 species